UUCCAACCAACGUUCAGCCUCUUCUUCAGCCACCAGCCAGCCGCGUGUGACCCGCACCACCAGCCACCUCUGACGCCGCCGACGCUGAACAACCAGCCACGCGUCUCCUCUGCAAGUGCUUUCACGCUAUAUGAUACGGAAAAAGGAAAAAGAGUUGUAAGUCUAAAGUAUUAUAGUCCAAAAUGCUGACAACAACCAAAAACCACAGAGUGCAGUAUCUACUGCAUGAAGUAUGCUAGGGAUCUCAUUUCACAACAAAGAACCAGAGCAUAUCUAUCAAAUAAUUUCAAUUCAGAUUUACCAUAUACUGACGCUGAACUUAAUGAAGUUCAAGAAGAGUGGGCAAAAUAUAUUCUACCGCAUCUCGUUAAAUGAUGGCAUGCAUGCUUAGUACCUAUGUGAGGGGAUUUAUUCAUUUUUUGAACUUUCUAUUUCUUUUAUUAGAAAUUGUUAGAACUAAUCAAAUACA